UCCUGGGUGUCUCCAGACCCACGUUGAAUGUCCUGCGGGUCGGGACAUAUUCCUGUCAUCUAAACAUGAUUCUCAUGCUUCAAGACUCUUCAGUUGCAUAAUUCAAACAGCUGCCAUGGAAGUGACAAGUUCAUUCCAUGUGGUUAAAGACAAAGAAACCAAGGCCAAAACAGUUGAACAACCAAGACUACCCUUCUGGUAAAUGAUCCUGAUGGAAUUGGAGCUCAGCAGAAUGGCUUUCUUCUGUGAUCUGCAUAGCCAACGAUGCGAGCUGUCAUCAUUAACACCAUGGAGCCCAUUCCCUCUUGUGGCUGUGCCUGAGCACUCAGGCUUGAACAGUGUUGAGUGAGAAAGGCAUUUAUGCAUGGAGCUCACAGGCUUCACAGCUCCUCCCUCUCCCCCUCGCUUUUACUUCUCCCUUCUGUGUCAGCUCAGCAAAAAGUCAAAAUGUGGACUGAAUGAAGGAGAACCAGAUACAAAACUGUGUGCCACCAAGUCCUAAGUUGGCAUUUUUAAAAAGUGUCAGCAAAAGAGUUUUUUUUAUCAAUCUGACUCUGAAAACUGUGCCACAAGAAGUUGUGGGAAUUAAAGCAGCCCAAGGUUUCUCUUAAAGAAAACACUGGGUCCCUUCCAAUGCAACACGGAAAGAGAAGAUGCCGCUGCCAUUCCUAUGGUAGAACACUGUGUCACUUUCUGAAGUCCCACUCAGUCAUACAUAAGACAUGGCAUCCUGUCAUUAGGGACAGCAAUGAAUGUGUCUGUGGGUUUGCAGCUCUGCCUCAGACUACAAGGCAAACCUGGUUAAAACAACCACAGAGAAAACCAUCUAUCUUCAUAAAUUCAGUUGCAAAGAGAAAUUCAUCAUGUUUACUGUCUUUAAGGAAGGAGUGAGGCUUGUAAUAAAAUGCUCUC